AGCCCACCUGGCAGGGUGUCCAUGGGGUCACUAAAAGGGAGGGGUUUCCAGAAAGAGAGACCCCUGUGCAGGGGGAGUGUCAGUGAGACGUGGUGGUAGUGAUGAGUUUAGAGUCUGCUGUUUCCUGGGGAAGGCGCGGGAGAGCAGGGACGGUAGACUGAAUGUGGGGUUUGUGAGAACCCUCCUCUGUGAUCCCUGACUCUGAGGAGUAAGCUUGACACUCUUUGCAGAGGCGCUGCCUGGACCAGACUCUUGGAAAGCAUCAAAGAAAAAUAUCAUCAAGCCCUAAGUGAAUAUGCUGCAUCUUAAGACGUCCGUGAUUCCCUGGUUAACAGGUCUAGGAACCAGCAGGAAGCCCGAGGCGGUGGCUGGGGUGCUGUGUGCACCUGCACUUCCAAGAGUUCUAGAGUUGCUUCCUGAAGAGUGUCACGUGUUCAGAGUGAACUGGACUGAAGUUGUCAAAUCUUGAUCU
rnacentral:lncRNA from 1 species